GACGAACGCUGGCGGCGUGCUUAACACAUGCAAGUCGAACGGAAAGGCCCUGCUUUUGUGGGGUGCUCGAGUGGCGAACGGGUGAGUAACACGUGAGUAACCUGCCCUUGACGUUGGGAUAACUUCAGGAAACUGGGGCUAAUACCGGAUAGGAGCUCCUGCUGCAUGGUGGGGGUUGGAAAGUUUCGGCGGUUGGGGAUGGACUCGCGGCUUAUCAGCUUGUUGGUGGGGUAGUGGCUUACCAAGGCUUUGACGGGUAGCCGGCCUGAGAGGGUGACCGGCCACAUUGGGACUGAGAUACGGCACAGACUCCUACGGGAGGCAGCAGUGGGGAAUAUUGCACAAUGGGCGGAAGCCUGAUGCAGCAACGCCGCGUGCGGGAUGACGGCCUUCGGGUUGUAAACCGCUUUCGCCUGUGACGAAGCGUGAGUGACGGUAAUGGGUAAAGAAGCACCGGCUAACUACGUG
rnacentral:rRNA from 1 species